rnacentral:lncRNA from 1 species
CCAGCAUGUUCUGCCAGAUCUGAACCACAAUAAUUUCUGUUGUUCAAUGAGCCACAGCCAAGCCCUCUCCUACAAGGUCUGGACCUCAGCCGCGGGGAGAGGCUCUUUCUUGAGAGCUCUAUCUCAGCCCUAGGGGUAAUGCUGCUCCUUCUAUCUGCUAUUCCUGUAUUCUUUAGAGUUUGUUUGGUGGUUGUUUUUUUUUUAAUUCUCACUAGCCAAUCCCUCAUUACCCAAACUCCUGUAUAGUUAGGAGCUGUGUAUGUGAAACUUUCUCUGUUCAAAUUACUGUGUGGUUUCUCUCUCCCAGCUGGACCCAGACUAACACACUUGUAAAAAUCCUGUAAAACAAGCAACAAGUUGGAUGAACUCUACACUCAUGUCCACAGAAGACACAUCUAAGUCUGUUGCGAGGAGGCAGGGAUGGGGACCCAGAGCCACAGAGCCUCAGAACUGAAGCCUGACUGCCCAGGUCCCCAUCAGGACUCUAGUUACCCUGAAGGUGUCCUUUCUCUCAGGGUCUGAAAAAGCCCUGAGAGGUGAAGCCCAACAACUUGAUAUAAAC